rnacentral:rRNA from 1 species
GACGUAGGGUGCGAGCGUUGUCCGGAUUUAUUGGGCGUAAAGAGCUCGUAGGCGGCUCGUCGCGUCAGCUGUGAAAACCCGCGGCUUAACUGUGGGCUUGCAGCUGAUACGGGCGGGCUAGAGUUCGGUAGGGGAGACUGGAAUUCCUGGUGUAGCGGUGAAAUGCGCAGAUAUCAGGAGGAACACCGGUGGCGAAGGCGGGUCUCUGGGCCGAAAUUGACGCUGAGGAGCGAAAGCGUGGGGAGCAAACAGG